GGCCCCGCGGGCUGCGCGGGCCCGGAGCCGCGGCUGCUGCGCGGGGCGGGUUGGGCAGGUGUUGAUGUCAUCCUUUUUUUUGUUUGGUUUUAUGCUUUGUGCGUGCUCUGCAGCGCACGCCGCGGGCAUCACCACACGGCAGUGCCUGCGUGUGAUUUAUAAAUAAGGGAAGAGGUGAAUGUGUGUGUACCGGGGACAGCACAUGCCCGGCGCCGUGAGGCGACCUCAGCCAUCAGCGGGCGCCGGAGGAGCCGCGUUCCUCGUCCCGCGGGAAGGAGGCCAGUGCGGGUGCAGGGAUGAGAAACAUGUUCCCAGAGAAGGGGCAAAGAUGUGGCGAUCCCACAAGGAGAGGGCAAGGGGGUGUUUUUUUGUAUUGCAGUCUGUGUUUUGGUUUAUUUUAACGUCGAGGCUUAAAAACUGUAAUCCCCUACUCACUGAUCGCACUGUUAUGUCGAGCUGAAAGGUUCAGCUUAUCCAGAUUUCCAUAAGCCUUUUAUUAGGACCAGGCCAGCUCAGCACUGAACUCAUGUUCUGUAUUUUCUGUGCUGGUUAUUUGACACUUUUUUUUUUUUUUUUUAAGAUGGCUAAGAUUUUGCUCAUGACCUGUGAGCACUGCACAGGCUGAAUUCUUUUUGCAUCUCCAUAGUCUCAUCCUGCAGCUUCUCCAGUUAUCUCUUCCUGCAGUACUCAAAACUGCAGCUUGAUAUGAAGAUUUAGCUCUGACAGUUGAUAAGAGAACAAUCUAAAUGUGAGCUAGCAUAUAAGUGUGAGAUAGCAUCUAAAUGUGAAGAGAAGGGAAGAGGUAAGUGUGAAUCAGGCUUGUUCACCCCCGCAGGUCAGUGCUGAGAGCCAGCAAUAAACGCAUUGCUGAACUGCUGACAAAUCAUAUGGAUCUGAGACUGCUUACUACACCUCAAUUGCUGAAAGAUAUUAAUUGGAAGAUGACUGGUUUCUUUGUUUGUUUGUUUGUUUGUUUGUUUGUUUGUUUGUUUUUCUUCCAGUCUGUCUCACAUUAAAUUUCUUAGCUGUAUUGCUUCCAUUUUAGAAACUCCUUAGGAAGGGUUAUUAAGCUUAAUCUCUUUGAGACUGGCUCUCUUCUUUAUCUGCAGAGCAUUGCUGUCUGUUGUCAGAAGGUGAGUACUCAGUUUUACAGUGAUACUGUUUUCUGCAGAUUAAUGUAACUGAAGCCCUUUUUUUCCCCCUGCUUUUGACUUGAAGAUCUACGCAAAACUGCUGGCAGCCUCUUAUGUGCUGCUCAGCAUAGUUUGAAAGUGUAUGUAUAUUAAUGAGUUACAGAGUAUUUGAUACUGACAUGAAAACAAAGGGUUUUCAGAUGCUGUGUUUGUAACCCUAUACAUUCCUGUAGUGCCACUGAAGAGAAUCAAGCAGUUAGUGUGGAUUCUGGAAGUCAUCUCAUCUUAACAACAUUACAUACCUAUUUUAGGGACAGAAAGCAAGAACAAUUAUUCUUUUUAGCCUUCAGGGGAAUUUUAAGUACACAAAAUAUAAUUACUCAAAUUGAAAUUUAUCCUGGAAGCUAGAAUUAACAACCCUCUCACAAACAAAAUACAACAACAGGAUCAUAUGACCAUCAUGAGUUUCAAUUUAAAAGUGAGAGACUGUGAAUGAAAAGCCAUUAUUUAAUAUGUGCUGGUGUUUAUUGUUCACAAUUCUCUUUUGCAGCCGUUUUGUUGUAAUCUUCUGCUCCCCCUGUGCACUCUUCUAGACUGAACUGCAACACAAGGUUUUUUGACUGUGACUUGCAGGUUCUGCUGGGGCAUUCAGGGAGCUCUGCCACUGCUCAUGGGAUUCACAUGUUGCAGCACUGACAUAGGUGUAUGUAUGGGCAAAUGCCCAUGAAACCUUGCUUAAAAAUAAACAAUGCUUUUAAAAUUGAGAAACUCCUAGCUUAUAAUUCAGUUAUUAAAUAGUUAACAAUUCCCCAUAGAAAAGCCAGCAUUACUCCUCUUUUUCUCAAUCUCCAAAUCUCUGUAAGAAAGGUAUCAGCUCUACUAACGUGCUAUAUGGAAGCUCGAGUUAGCGUAUGUCAACAGGUAAAGGAUACGGUCGAGCAAAGAUGGGGUUAUUGGAUCUCUAUAUGUAUAAAAAACUCUCUCUAAUUCAUCAAAACAAUUCCAUACUGCACAGAUAGUCUGUCAUCUACAUACAUGUGUUUUUUUAGGUGGUAGGCAGCCUGCAGCACCCAGAAAAGCUGGGCACUUUCACACCUGGAGUGCAGUCUCCCUUGCCUGCAGCCAGCCUGUGGGUUUCGGUAGGCAGGCAUGACUGUGCAGCACAGCCUUUUAAGGGAGAACUAUCUAAUCUGGUUUUGUCUUCUUCUCUAAAUAGGGUGUUGCAGACGGUGCCACACUCACUAACUGGAUUUCUGCUUCUUUUUUCAGUGCCUGAUGAGGAAAACCCUCCUGCUCCCACUGCGUAUCGGCGUUUCAGCUGCAGAUGGUAUUUUCUGUGCAUAAUAACUACAGCAGCCUGUGUGCACCUCGCCAGCACCACGUGGGUUUGUCCACCUUUAAUCACUGUGCAGGCAGGAGAAAGGCUGCCCACCCCUGGGUUGGUGGCUGCCUCUUUGGGAAUGUUUUGCUCUCUGUCCUGUCAGUAAGCCUGUGCUGAACAGAGCAGCCAGCACUGCAUCAGAGUGUUGGGGAAGUCUGCGGGGCUGCCAGCCAUAAGGAUAAAGUUAUUUAAAAGGCAUCAUCGCAUGAAGACUGACAGUGCACCAAAGAACAACAGUUACAAAAGUCAUUGAAUUGUUUCCUGCUUGAGUGCCAUAAAACAUUUGCAAGAAAUGGAAGAAGAUAAAGGGCAGAGUGCUAAAGCUUCUAGUGUGGUGGGUGACUUGAGGAAAAGUUGGCAGACCUGGGCAGAAGAUCACAUUGAGUAUCAGAGAAAGAACCCAUUCAGCAACGACAAUAAGCUUGCAUCUAAAUCAGUGCAUAGUCACAGAGGAGAUCCUUCCUACGGGAGACCCCUGGAAGGGUCUCGGACAGAGCAGAGAGGGAAAGAUGCUCACUCACACGUGGAAAAGGAAGUAGAAGAGCUGUGCUUGGUCAUUAAAAGCACUGGACAGGUGGGAGAAGAUGGACAUGUGAGCGUGACUUUCGGGCAGCUGUUUGAGACAUACGUGACUAUUUCCAAUAAAGUAGUGGGAAUCUUGUUACGAGCCAGAAAACAUGGUCUGGUUCAUUUUGAAGGUGAAAUGCUUUGGCAGGGAAAAGAUGAUGAUGUGAUAAUCACUUUACUAUAAUAGGCUUUGUCAUUUGAUGAAUUCUGCUUUAUAGUCCCAUUUGGAAAAACCUAUCUGGAUACCAUCCUGAAAGAGGUUUUCAUUACAGAAUUUCAACUCGACUAUUUACAUGAGCAGGAGGAGAAAACGAGUGAGAAGGAUGAAAAAAUGUUUUCAGAAAAAUGGUAGAGACUUGGACAGAAAUCACUAAUAACCAACUAAUCCAUCUCACUGCCACCAGAUUGUCCUUUCAUUAUUAUCAUCCACUAAGAAGUAUACCUCAGCUCUCAAAUAACUCCACUGGCUUAAUGCUUUAUGUUACUGAAAGUAUAAAAUACUAGCUGGUUACCACAACCCUGAUUCUUGUAGGUUGUCAGCUACUCACUCUGUGUGUGAUUUUGAUUUGUAAAACAAGGAAUUGUACACUUUUAUGGGAAUUCAUAUGCUUCUUCAAAAAAAAGAGCCUGGUAUAUAGCAAAAGUAUAGGUUAUUUUCACAUGGUGAAACUGAAUAAAUUGAAGUUAUUUUCAUGGAAUGUAUGAAAAUUCCCAAAUUUACAGAAAUACCACAGCGAAGAUAUUUGAUGGUUCCUAAAUUCCUAAUACAUCUUACAUGUAUUAUGGAGAGCUGCACUAGUCCUGGUAUUUAAUAGUCUAUUCUUACAUCUUCUCCAAACCUUCUGCAUCUCUUGUUCUUACCUCUGUAUCUCACACCAUUCUUACCUUUUCUGUUCUUUCAAAGAAAGUAAGGUGCCACAAUAUAAGUAUGUGAAAGAUAACAGAAAUUGUAUAGUGGGGCACUGUGCAUUCAUGAGGGAAAAAAAAAAAAAAAAGGCUCUUCUUUCACCAAAAUGUAGCAAUGUUGUUUACAACAGGAGGAGCGUAGGGUUCCUGUAGUGCCAAAUGCUUAAAUAAAGGUGUAACGGUGCGAUCUCAUACCUCGUUUAUCUGAGAUAGGGCUGUGCUUUCAGAGCACACCUGUGAGUUCUCCAAACUGGGAGAAAAAAAGGAUUAGCUACUUAAAAUUGAGACUGAAAGAUGACAGCAAUUUUAUUCAGGGUUCUUCUGGGAGAACUUUUUCAAUGUGUUAAAAAAACAAACAAACAAAAAGUUUGUUUAUAUACAGUAGUUGUAAUAAUGCUAUUAAAAAUAAUCAGGAGCUGUAUUUGCAAUAGUUCCCAUCAAGAAAACUGUAUAGUUAGAAAUAUAAAAUUCUAUUUUUUACCAGUGCAAAUAAAAGCUUUUAUGGGGUCUUAACUACACUACUUGAUGCAUCUUUAAAGUAAAAUGUUCUCUUGCUUCAAAAGGAUAUUGACAUUUAAUAUAAAUUAUGAACUAGCUAAAUGUGAUAGAUUUUAUGCUGUUUAUAUAAAAGAAUAUUUUUUCUGCAAAAAAUCCUACAAUAACGUCUGUGGGGGGAUUGUUUAAACAUUUUCAUUCAAUAUGUAUUUGCAUCAAAAUAAGCCUUUUGACUGAGCAAAUAAAAACAUGGAUUUAAUUAUC